GACGAACGCUGGCGGCGUGCUUAACACAUGCAAGUCGAACGAUGAAGCCGGAGCUUGCUCCGGUGGAUUAGUGGCGAACGGGUGAGUAACACGUGAGCAAUCUGCCCUUGACUCUGGGAUAACUGCGGGAAACUGUAGCUAAUACCGGAUACGACACCUUGGGGCAUCCCAGGGUGUGGAAAGAAUUUCGGUCAAGGAUGAGCUCGCGGCCUAUCAGCUAGUUGGUGAGGUAAUGGCUCACCAAGGCGACGACGGGUAGCCGGCCUGAGAGGGUGACCGGCCACACUGGAACUGAGACACGGUCCAGACUCCUACGGGAGGCAGCAGUGGGGAAUAUUGCACAAUGGGCGAAAGCCUGAUGCAGCAACGCCGCGUGAGGGAUGAAGGCCUUCGGGUUGUAAACCCCUUUUAGCAGGGAAGAAGCGAGAGUGACGGUACCUGCAGAAAAAGCACCGGCUAACUACGUGCCAGCCGCCGCAGUAA
rnacentral:rRNA from 1 species